rnacentral:rRNA from 1 species
AUACCGGCGGCCCGAGUGGUGGCCGCUAUUAUUGGGCCUAAAGCGUCCGUAGCCGGGCCUGUAAGUCCCUGGCGAAAUCCCACGGCUCAACCGUGGGGCUUGCUGGGGAUACUGCAGGCCUUGGGACCGGGAGAGGCCGGGGGUACUCCUGGGGUAGGGGUGAAAUCCUAUAAUCCCAGGAGGACCGCCAGUGGCGAAGGCGCCCGGCUGGAACGGGUCCGACGGUGAGGGACGAAGGCCAGGGGAGCGAACCGGAUUAGAAACCCUAGUAGUCC